CUUUCAGCCCCCUUUGAGGUUAUACAUAUUCUCCUGUUCUUACCAUCAAAUUUACACAGCUUUAGUGCAUAAUCUUCUAGAUAUGGCUGAAUCUUUUGGUCAUCUAAAUUUCUCUUUGAAGGGUUUAUAGAAAUCUGUCACAGUUGGAAAGCUAGCUGAAAAAGUACUGGCGUAAGCAGUAGAAGUGGUCCAGGACUACUUAACGUUAUGCUCAA
rnacentral:lncRNA from 1 species